rnacentral:rRNA from 1 species
AGACUUUGAUUCUGGCUCAGAACGAACGCUGGCGGCAGGCCUAACACAUGCAAGUCGAGCGCGCCCUUCGGGGUGAGCGGCGGACGGGUGAGUAACGCGUGGGAACGUGCCCUUUGCUGCGGAAUAGCCACUGGAAACGGUGAGUAAUACCGCAUGAGCCCUUCGGGGGAAAGAUUUAUCGGCAAGGGAUCGGCCCGCGUUGGAUUAGGUAGUUGGUGGGGUAAUGGCCCACCAAGCCGACGAUCCAUAGCUGGUUUCAGAGGAUGAUCAGCCACACUGGGACUGAGACACGGCCCAGACUCCUACGGGAGGCAGCAGUGGGGAAUCUUAGACAAUGGGCGCAAGCCUGAUCUAGCCAUGCCGCGUGAGUGACGAAGGCCCUAGGGUCGUAAAGCUCUUUCGCCUGUGAAGAUAAUGACGGUAGCAGGUAAAGAAACCCCGGCUAACUCCGUGCCAGCAGCCGCGGUAAUACGGAGGGGGUUAGCGUUGUUCGGAAUUACUGGGCGUAAAGCGCGCGUAGGCGGACCAUCAAGUUGGGGGUGAAAUCCCGGGGCUCAACCCCGGAACUGCCUCCAAACUGGGGGUCUGGAGUUCGAGAGAGGUGAGUGGAAUUCCGAGUGUAGAGGUGAAAUUC